UCUGACGUGCAAAUCGAUCGUCAAAUUUGGGUAUAGGGGCGAAAGACUAAUCGAACCAUCUAGUAGCUGGUUCCCUCCGAAGUUUCCCUCAGGAUAGCUGGAGCCCGAACUAUGUGUGUAGUUUUAUCAGGUAAAGCGAAUGAUUAGAGGUAUUGGGGUUGAAAUGACCUCAACCUAUUCUCAAACUUUAAAUGGGUAAGAGGUGUAGCUUGCUUAAGUGAAGUUACACGAUUGAUUUCUCGUGGAAUACAGGGGCUCUUAGUGGGCCAUUUUUGGUAAGCAGAACUGGCGAUGCGGGAUGAACCGAACGCUGGGUUAAGGUGCCCAAGUCAACGCUCAUGAGAUCCCAUGAAAGGUGUUGGUUGAUACAGACAGCAGGACGGUGGCCAUGGAAGUCGGAAUCCGCUAAGGAGUGUGUAACAACUCACCUGCCGAAUCAACUAGCCCUGAAAAUGGAUGGCGCUCAAGCGUUGCACCUAUCCCCGGCCGCCGUGUGGAGAUGGCCAGUGCUGGUGACACGGCGUGUAGGAGGGCGCAGGGCUGUGUGUUGGUAUGCUGUGCAGGCUGGUGCGUGAGCCCGGCUGAAGCUGGCCCUGGUGCAGAUCUUGGUGGUAGUAGCAAUUAUUCAAAUGAGAACUUUGAAGGCCGAAGUGGAGAAGGGUUCCACGUGAACAGCAUUUGGACGUGGGUGAGUCGGUCCUAAGAGAUGGGCGAAAGCCUGGUUAGUAAGGGUGCAGAUGUGCUGCCUCUCAGGGGGUAGUAUGUCCGGUUGGUUCUUCGGGGCCACGGUGGCACCAGCUCUCGAAAGGGUAUCGGGUUAAUAUUCCCGAACCAGACACCUGGAUGCUGCUCGUGGUGGAGCACGGCAACGUAUAUGUGUGUAUACUCGGCGACGCUUGCGAUAGCCCUGGGAAGAGUUGUCUUUUCUUCUUAACCGUACCAACCGUGUGCACAGCCCUGGAAGCAGUUUACCUUGAGAGAGGGCUGGAGGUCGGGUAAAGCGCUGCACUUAUUGCAGCGUCCAGUGCGCUGUCGAGAGCCCCUGAAAAGCUGAGUCAGGACUGGACCAUGUUAGUCUCGUGUCUGGCCGUAC
rnacentral:rRNA from 1 species